rnacentral:tRNA from 1 species
GGUUCUAUAGCUCAGUUGGUAGAGCACUACCUUGACAUGGUAGGGGUCAUUGGUUCGAGUCCAAUUAGAGCCACCA